rnacentral:rRNA from 1 species
UACAGAGGGGGCGAGCGUUUGUUCGGAAUUACUGGGCGUAAAGGGCGCGUAGGCGGACAGUUUAGUCAGAGGUGAAAGCCCAGGCUCAACCUUGGAAUUGCCUUUGAUACUGGCUGUCUUGAGUUCGGGAGAGGUGAGUGGAAUGCCGAGUGUAGAGGUGAAAUUCGUAGAGUAUUCGGCGGAACACCAGUGGCGAAGGCGACUGCCACUGGCCCGAUGACUGACGUGAGGCGACGAAAGGCGUGGGGAGCAAACAGG